rnacentral:rRNA from 1 species
UACAGAGGGUGCAAGCGUUAAUCGGAAUUACUGGGCGUAAAGCGUGCGCAGGCGGUUUUGUAAGUCUGUCGUGAAAUCCCCGGGCUCAACCUGGGAAUUGCGAUGGAGACUGCAAGGCUAGAAUCUGGCAGAGGGGGUAGAAUUCCACGUGUGAGCAGUGAAAUGCGUAGAGAUGUGGAGGAACACCGAUGGCGAAGGCAGCCCCUGGGUCAAGAUUGACGCUCAUGCACGAAAGCGUGGGAGCAACAAGG